CUUCUAGAGAACCCAAGCUAAAAGAUGCGGCAUCAGGAGUGUCCUGAAGACAGUCGGGAUGGGAUAUUGGAGUUGAGUUCCUCACUGAUUUUGUGGUGAUAAAGACCCAGGGAAUGUGAGGCAUGAGAUGCUGCAGGACCAGGCAGUACCUACACAGGCACAACCCAGAAAUGUGGGAGAUUUAACGUCUGAGAAGAAAAAGUUUGACAAAGGGAUAUAGCAGCUGGUCAUUUAAGGAACCCCACAUGGUAAGGAACUACAAGCAGCCUCUAGAAGCUGAGGGCAACCUCCAGCCAACAGCCAGCAAGAAAUUAGAGCCCUCAGUCAUACAUCCAAAAGGACAUGAAUUCUGCUGACAACCACAUGAGUCUGGAAGCAGAUCCUUUCCCAGGUGAGCCUCCAUAUGAGAAAGCAGUCUUGUUCAACACCUUGAUUGCAGCCUCGCAAAGGAUAAGCUAAGUUGUUCCUGACCCAUGGAAACAGGGAGAUAAUAAAUGUGUGUUGCUUUAGGCUGUUAAGUUUGUGGCAAUAUUAUUAAGCAACAAUAGAUAACUAAUACAGACUAUAAAAUGGUACAACCACUUUGGGAGAUGGUUUGACAAUUUCUUAAAACAUUAAACAUACACCAACCAUGUGACCCAGAUAUUCCAUACUCAAGAGAAACAUUAGUCGGGAGUUCCCUGGUGGUCCAGUGGUUAGCACUUGGUGCUUUCACUGCCAGGGCCUGGGUUCAGUCCCUGGUCAGGGAACUAAGAUCUGGAAAGCUGCACGGUGUGGCCAACAAAAAAAAAUCCUGAGAAACAUAAGUCCACAGAAAAGACCCAUACAUAAAUAUUCAUAACAACUUCAUUCAUAACAGCCAAAAAUCAGAAAAAACAAAUUUCCAUCCAUACAAGAGUAGAUAAAGAAAUUGUGGUAUAUUGAUACAAUA